rnacentral:rRNA from 1 species
UACGUAGGGUGCAAGCGUUAAUCGGAAUUACUGGGCGUAAAGCGUGCGCAGGCGGUUUUGUAAGUCAGAUGUGAAAUCCCCGGGCUUAACCUGGGAACUGCGUUUGAAACUACAAGGCUAGAGUGUGGCAGAGGGGGGUGGAAUUCCCGGUGUAGUGGUGAAAUGCGUAGAGAUCGGGAGGAACACCCGUGGCGAAGGCGGCUCACUGGGCUGACCUUGACGCUGAGGCGCGAAGGCGUGGGGAGCGAACGGG